rnacentral:lncRNA from 1 species
AUAAUUAAAACUAAAAUCCAAACAAAAAUAACAACAAAUAAAUAGACUGAAAGAAUCGUUUACAACAGAGAGGCGAUCGUAACCCUAAGCCCAAUUUCUCGAAGAGACCAGGGCCCUAAGCGCCUCUCACAAGUAUCGGGAGUGGUCGAAGAGCCCUCACCGCCGACCGAACAAGCGAGGAGCGGACGGAUACAAGUCCAACUCCCGGCGAACCAAUCCAAACAAAAAAUAGAGAAGAAUUAAGCCACCAAUCUCUAAACGGAAAAGAUAAAUCAAAAAGGAAAAAAUCAAGAGAAAUUUUGGGAGAAAGGAAGAGAGAACAACGAAGGAGAG